rnacentral:rRNA from 1 species
CGGCGUGCUUAAUACAUGCAAGUCAACUUGACUUAGAUAGCAAUAUCGAAAGUAGGGUGGCGCACGGGUGCGUAACGCGUAGGUAAUCUGCCCUGAGGUCUGACAUAACCCGUCGAAAGGCGGGCUAACAUCAGAUGAUAUAUAAUCACGACAUCGUGGAAAUAUCAAAUCUUCGGAGCCUUGGGAUGAGCCUGCGUCUGAUUAGGUAGUUGGCGGAGUAAUAGCCCACCAAGCCUACGAUCAGUAGCUGGUCUGAGAGGAUGAUCAGCCACACUGGAACUGAGACACGGUCCAGACUCCUACGGGAGGCAGCAGUAAGGAAUAUUGCUCAAUGGGGGGAAACCCUGAAGCAGCAACGCCGCGUGAAGGAUGAAAUACUUUGUAUGUAAACUUCUGUAAGAUGGGAAAAAUAUUCUCCUCGGGAGAAUUGAUUGUACCAUCAGAGUAAGCCCCGGCUAACUACGUG